GAACCUGAGGGCUGCGGCUGCGAUUGUGAAGAAGUUAGGAGGAGGAAAGAAUAAGGAAAGAAUUGGGGAAGAAGAAGAAGAUGGGGAAGAACCUGGUGCGGCUGCGGCGGCGCUGUAGAGCGUGGAGUUGGAUUUAUUAGGGCAAAGGACAAAAGCCAAAGAAGAGAGGCAUGGUUCUUAAUCAAGGAGAUGGCACAGAUCGAUAUGACUUUUGAGGAGAGGAUUAACUUUGCUGUUUUCCCAGCACGCUAAUAGCACUGAAAGAGGUGGUAACUUCUGUAUACAAGCUUAUAUGCAACAAGUUAAGAAAAAUUCUCAGGCUUUAGCAUCAGCUUUAAUUUAUUGAGAGGAGACUGCAAAUUAGUGACUGGGGGCACUGAUAAUCAUCUGUUGCUGUGGGACUUUAAAUUUUGGAUUGACAGGCACGUUGUUUUUUUUAUAUUGAUGCUACUUAUCCUCUUAUCUGCCAACUUGGUUAUAUCAUCUGAUGUGCAUUACAGGCUAUGAUUUUAUUGUUGAUGCAUGAUUUCAUCACUUCAGAUAUACUACUUCAGGCAAAAAUUUUGAGAGGUUCCGUGAAUAAAGUUACUGUUUUUUAUGACAAUGGCAACAUAACACCCAGAGGCGUAAGGAUGGGUACGUACACCUGCAAUGACUUCAAGAGGUUGUCUAGAGGCUGAUUUUGAGACGAUAGCUGGAUUUCUUAUUCAAGCUGCUCGUAUUGCUAGUUCUAUAUAGAAAGAACAUGGGAAACAACGAAAAGGGUUCAUGAAUGGCCUUGCGGACAACAAAGAAAUGAUUGAACUUUGGAACCGGGUAGAAAGCUUUGCUUCACAAUUUGCCAUUGCGGGAUGUGAUGGAUGAUUUGGUUCCUGUCUUACAUGGGAGAGGCAUACUUCCAUCUACCUAUUCAUGAUAAUCUCCUUUAAAAUGGUAUCUUCAAAGUGGCAUAGGAAUCCUUGUACAACCAAAAUGAUGGGGCUUUUUAUGAUUCUUUGGCAGCUGUGUUUGAUAUAAAGUUUUUCUCAUUGAGUUUUAUAUCAUUGCAUGCACCACCAACCUGUCUGGUUAUCAUGCCAACAUAUGGUCACUCAAGUUUUGAGAAUGGAGUGUAGCUGAAUGCUGCCAAGCUUUACCCCUGGCUAAGUUUUCGUGGCACCGACGAUUAUGUGCUAAUUGCAGGACCCUAUCAUUUGCUGUAAUUUUUUCCUGUGGAUUUUUGCUAUGGAAGGUUACAUUAUUAUUUAUUUGGUGCUUGUGAUCAUCUUAAGAUCGAAUUACAUUUAUUUCCCUUCAGUUAUUGGAAUUAUGUUGUAUGUAGUAUGAGCUUCUACUUGUGAUGUCAGGGCAUGCACAUCCUGUAAUAAUGUAUUCUUUGCUUUUGUGUUUGAAUUGCUGAUUCCCUAUCCUGUAUGUAUGUAUUCUGCAGUUGUCAAGCUGAUUGAAUAGCUCUUAUGUAAUUGUUUAACUAUUUAUUUCUAUUCUUUGGGAUCACCAAUCUUGCAACAAACAGGACAUGCUGAUCUUGUAUAUAUGUUGAUGUGAUUCUGUGGUUAGAACUCAUGGGAAAAGUUGCAAGUCAGGACAGGACAGCAAUGCUUGCAGUCUUCCUUCCCUCAAUACAGAAACUAUCAAUGCUAAGCAUGCAGAGGGAAAUCAUUCGAUGAAUUAUUUGAAAGGAACCAAUCCUCUUGCAAGUUGUAAAGAGGAGUAGACUUUAAAAAGAGCCAAGCAAAACACACCAGAGGGAACAAGCAACAGUGUCAGAUUUGGUAUGCGCCGUCAUUUCCAUUUGGCAGCCGUUGAUUGCUCUUACAACCUGCCCCAAAAGUUAAGAUUAAUUGGAUUAUGGAUAGCAUAUGGUAUGAGUAACCUGGCGGGAGAGCUGAGCGUUUAGAACACGGCGGCGAUCACUGAUUAAAGAUAGCAUAUUGGCCCCAGAUGAAUAGUAGUUCUCCAUGGAAGAUACAG